rnacentral:rRNA from 1 species
AUGAACCGCUUUCGGGCGGGGAUUAGUGGCGAACGGGUGAGUAACACGUGGGCAAUCUGCCCUGCACUCUGGGACAAGCCCUGGAAACGGGGUCUAAUACCGGAUAUGACUGUCCAUCGCAUGGUGGAUGGUGUAAAGCUCCGGCGGUGCAGGAUGAGCCCGCGGCCUAUCAGCUUGUUGGUGAGGUAGUGGCUCACCAAGGCGACGACGGGUAGCCGGCCUGAGAGGGCGACCGGCCACACUGGGACUGAGACACGGCCCAGACUCAUACGGGAGGCAGCAGUGGGGAAUAUUGCACAAUGGGCGAAAGCCUGAUGCAGCGACGCCGCGUGAGGGAUGACGGCCUUCGGGUUGUAAACCUCUUUCAGCAGGGAAGAAGCGAAAGUGACGGUACCUGCAGAAGAAGCGCCGGCUAACUACGUGCCAGCAGCCGCGGUAAUACGUAGGGCGCAAGCGUUGUCCGGAAUUAUUGGGCGUAAAGAGCUCGUAGGCGGCUUGUCACGUCGGUUGUGAAAGCCCGGGGCUUAACCCCGGGUCUGCAGUCGAUACGGGCAGGCUAGAGUUCGGUAGGGGAGAUCGGAAUUCCUGGUGUAGCGGUGAAAUGCGCAGAUAUCAGGAGGAACACCGGUGGCGAAGGCGGAUCUCUGGGCCGAUACUGACGCUGAGGAGCGAAAGCGUGGGGAGCGAACAGGAUUAGAUACCCUGGUAGUCCACGCCGUAAACGGUGGGCACUAGGUGUGGGCAACAUUCCACGUUGUCCGUGCCGCAGCUAACGCAUUAAGUGCCCCGCCUGGGGAGUACGGCCGCAAGGCUAAAACUCAAAGGAAUUGACGGGGGCCCGCACAAGCGGCGGAGCAUGUGGCUU